CAUGUGGGAAUCUACCUGAAGGUUCGGAAUAACUGCGGGAAACUGUAGCUAAUACCGGAUGUGUCUGCAAAGAGAAAGAUUUAUCGCCUUCAGAUGAGCCCGCACUAGAUUAGCUAGUUGGUGAGGUAAUUGCUCCACCAAGGCUACGAUCUAUAGCUGAUUUGAGAGGAUGAUCAGCCACACUGGGACUGAGACACGGCCCAGACUCCUACGGGAGGCAGCAGUAGGGAAUAUUGGACAAUGGGGGAAACCCUGAUCCAGCAAUGCCGCGUGAGUGAAGAAGGCCUUCGGGUUGUAAAG
rnacentral:rRNA from 1 species